UAUGGAGAGUUUGAUCCUGGCUCAGAGUGAACGCUGGCGGCGUGCCUAAUACAUGCAAGUCGAACGAUGAAGCUUCUAGCUUGCUAGAAUGCUGAUUAGUGGCGCACGGGUGAGUAACGCAUAGGUCAUGUGCCUCUUAGUUUGGGAUAGCCAUUGGAAACGAUGAUUAAUACCAGAUACUCCCUACGGGGGAAAGAUUUAUCGCUAAGAGAUCAGCCUAUGUCCUAUCAGCUUGUUGGUAAGGUAAUGGCUUACCAAGGCUAUGACGGGUAUCCGGCCUGAGAGGGUGAACGGACACACUGGAACUGAGACACGGUCCAGACUCCUACGGGAGGCAGCAGUAGGGAAUAUUGCUCAAUGGGGGAAACCCUGAAGCAGCAACGCCGCGUGGAGGAUGAAGGUUUUAGGAUUGUAAACUCCUUUUGUUAGAGAAGAUAAUGACGGUAUCUAACGAAUAAGCACCGGCUAACUCCGUGCCAGCAGCCGCGGUAAUACGGAGGGUGCAAGCGUUACUCGGAAUCACUGGGCGUAAAGAGCGCGUAGGCGGGAUAGUCAGUCAGGUGUGAAAUCCUAUGGCUUAACCAUAGAACUGCAUUUGAAACUACUAUUCUAGAGUGUGGGAGAGGUAGGUGGAAUUCUUGGUGUAGGGGUAAAAUCCGUAGAGAUCAAGAGGAAUACUCAUUGCGAAGGCGACCUGCUGGAACAUUACUGACGCUGAUUGCGCGAAAGCGUGGGGAGCAAACAGGAUUAGAUACCCUGGUAGUCCACGCCCUAAACGAUGGAUGCUAGUUGUUGGAGGGCUUAGUCUCUCCAGUAAUGCAGCUAACGCAUUAAGCAUCCCGCCUGGGGAGUACGGUCGCAAGAUUAAAACUCAAAGGAAUAGACGGGGACCCGCACAAGCGGUGGAGCAUGUGGUUUAAUUCGAGGAUACACGAAGAACCUUACCUAGGCUUGACAUUGAGAGAAUCCGCUAGAAAUAGUGGAGUGUCUGGCUUGCCAGACCUUGAAAACAGGUGCUGCACGGCUGUCGUCAGCUCGUGUCGUGAGAUGUUGGGUUAAGUCCCGCAACGAGCGCAACCCCCUUUCUUAGUUGCUAACAGGUUAUGCUGAGAACUCUAAGGAUACUGCCUCCGUAAGGAGGAGGAAGGUGGGGACGACGUCAAGUCAUCAUGGCCCUUACGCCUAGGGCUACACACGUGCUACAAUGGGGUGCACAAAGAGAAGCAAUACUGCGAAGUGGAGCCAAUCUUCAAAACACCUCUCAGUUCGGAUUGUAGGCUGCAACUCGCCUGCAUGAAGCUGGAAUCGCUAGUAAUCGCAAAUCAGCCAUGUUGCGGUGAAUACGUUCCCGGGUCUUGUACUCACCGCCCGUCACACCAUGGGAGUUGUGUUUGCCUUAAGUCAGGAUGCUAAAUUGGCUACUGCCCACGGCACACACAGCGACUGGGGUGAAGUCGUAACAAGGUAACCGUAGGUGAACCUGCGGUUGGAUCACCUCCUU
rnacentral:rRNA from 1 species